rnacentral:misc_RNA from 1 species
UCUCCGUUGGUGAACCAGCGGAGGGAUCAUUAUCGAGUGUUACAACUCCCAAACCCUUAUGUGAACCUUACCCAUCGUUGCUUCGGCGGGAUCGUCCCGGUGGCCCGUUAUGGGCCGCCGGAUCCACGGCGCCCGCCGGGGGACCGAAACUCUUGCUUGUUUUCAGCGGUUUUCUCUCUGAGUGGCACAAGCAAAAAAUGCAAAAUUAAAACUUUCAACAACGGAUCUCUUGGUUCUGGCAUCGAUGAAGAACGCAGC